GUAGGUGGCAAGCGUUGUCCGGAAUUAUUGGGCGUAAAGCGCGCACAGGCGGUUCUUUAAGUCUGAUGUGAAAGCCCACGGCUCAACCGUGGAGGGUCAUUGGAAACUGGAGAACUUGAGUACAGAAGAGGAAAGCGGAAUUCCACGUGUAGCGGUGAAAUGCGUAGAGAUGUGGAGGAACACCAGUGGCGAAGGCGGCUUUCUGGUCUGUAACUGACGCUGAGGCGCGAAAGCGUGGGGAGCAAACAGGAUUAGAUACCCUGGUAGUCCACGCCGUAAACGAUGAGUGCUAAGUGUUAGGGGGGUUUCCGCCCCCCUUAGUGCUGCAGCUAACGCAUUAAGCACUCCGCCUGGGAGUACGGCCGCAAGGCUG
rnacentral:rRNA from 1 species